AUGUUUCUCCUUGCAAGGUGCAGUGGAGCUGGGAAGUGGGGCAGUUGGGAGUGCUGCCAGCAAAAGGUAAGUCGCCAGCACAUGGAGUGGAACUGCUCAGAACUGUGUGAUACAGGGGAUGGGGAAGUUUCUAGAUCCUAUAAUUGCAGCUGCAGCACCAAGCAGAAGGUUUCUGGAGAAUUUUAUUACCUUUACCAGGUAAAAACGCCACAUAUUGGCAGCAGCCUGCAGGGUUCACUCACCCAAGGUGCUGCAUAUCUCAUAUUUUAAAACUUUUAAGUGUAUUCUGUAACUGAGAAGAAGUAAUAGGGACCAUUUGGAAUGUCCAACUGCUAUGGGCUCCUUGAGUUCCUCGUUAAUGAGUGUGUGGUAACCUGGUAGCACAGAGCUUGUGCUCACCAAAGCCAGUAGUUAAUUAAGUAGUGGGCUCUUGCAGGGAGUAGCAUUAAUCUUCAGGGCUUACUGUGGUGAAUUAUUUUUCUUAAAUGCUAGAACAGGGCUUUUGCAUGAUGUGAAUGAAGAUGUGGUUGGGGAUAAGGUCUGAAAUGCUGAGAUCAGAUCCUCUGAGACAAAAGUGGCACAACAUCAAGCUACUCUAAGCAUGUACUGUUGGUGAUGAAUUCUAAGCAAUGGGAAUCUCUCUGAAAGAGUCUGAGGACAACUCUUGUGCUGAAACAGUACCCACAGUCAAACUAAAUCCUGAAGCACUGCCAAGGAGAGAGUGUUAGUAAAAUUUCACUUCUUUACAGGGUGAAUCUCGUGGGGAGUUCCUGUGAGAAACAAGGUGGAUGUGCCUGAGGAAAGUGUAGAGUACAUGGGGGUUUGUAAUUCUUGGAAUACUGUCUUUGUGCUGAAUGCCUAGGUAGUGGUACCUAAAAGGUGUCCUGUAAGAGAUCUGAUUUGUCUUCCCUUUAUUGUAUUCUGAUUCUCCUGCUCCCAUCUACUGUGGGAAUUAACAUGUGCAUGAAGCAAGAAUGCACUUCUGUGUAGUUCUGAAUUUGCCAUGAAAAGGAAGGGCUGUUUCUGAGCAAGUACCCAAGUGUAGUCAGUGGUAAACUUGGUGUGGAGUUCUGACUGAACAGAAGAUGUGGCCUCAAUGACUCUAAAAAUUGGGAGUUUAUUGCAACGUUGCACUGUGUAAUGAAAAGAAAAACAACCCUAUAUUCUCUAGUUGUCACUUCUCAGCAAUUUUUGCUGAUCUUUAUGCUGGCUCUACACAAAUUUAGACUCAAGUUCUAAAUAUUUGCUGUAUGAUCUUGUUUCCCAACAGACUGGUUCUCAUUUUUAAAGAUAGGUUCUUGGGAUGAUUUCUAUGAGACUUGUAAUUUGGGUAUCUAAACUCAUUAAAUACAAUUUUCCAGGGGGGAGAGACAGCAUCACAAAGCAAGUAGUAGCUUUGUACUUACCCUGUUUCUUCCAAUGUUUGUAAUUCUGUAUUUCCAAUUCAGUUAGGAUUUGUAAGCUUUGUGUCUCCUAUAUUUGGGUGUUGCAAGUUAACCUUGUGAGUUGCCAGCUGAAAGGCAGCCUUCCCCCAGGUAAAAUUAGUUUGGUGAAUAGGAAUUCAUAGAUAAACAAACUUGCAUAUAGUGCUGCUGUCUUGUUAUUCUGAAAGUACCUCUCUCUUCUCAGGAAAGGACUGUGCUGUUUGCAGCCUCACUGGGUAAGUCCAACAGCUGAACUGUAUUACAUGUUAUUGGGAAUGUUUGUAGCCACUGAUGAGAUUGAUUCUGCCAGAUGAAUUAGUGUGAUUUUACCCUUUCCGUUCCACUUUGUGCUGAGGUUACAGAGCUGAUGUGGAACCUGUACCACUUGUGCUACUGCAUGUGCUAAUUGUGUUUUCUUCUGGCUUUAGGUGAGGAAGCAACUUUGCAAUUACUGUAUGAAGAACUGAGAAGGUGAGUGUAACUACAGUAAUUAAGACAUUUCUUUGCUGGAACAAGUGAUGAUAACCUUAGCUUGAACUCUCUCACUGAACAGAGAUGAAAUUCUAAGGGCUGAGAUGUUCCCAGCAAGUGUCCUUGUGGUGGUUUGGUGUCUUAAUGUGGUUCUUAUGUCUAUCUUACUAGGUGGAGGAUUGCAGUAUAAUGGGCUACACUUGCAUGAACAGCAUUAAAAAGCCCAAGUGUUUUUUACCCCACUGGUAAUGUUUACCUGACGCUGGUUGGAGCCAAUAAAAAUCUGCAAACUCUGCCUGUUGUUGUGACC
ensembl:lncRNA